AUUGAACGCUGGCGGCAUGCCUUACACAUGCAAGUCGAACGGUAACAGGUCUUCGGAUGCUGACGAGUGGCGAACGGGUGAGUAAUACAUCGGAACGUGCCCGAUCGUGGGGGAUAACGAAGCGAAAGCUUUGCUAAUACCGCAUAAGAUCUACGGAUGAAAGCAGGGGACCGCAAGGCCUUGCGCGAACGGAGCGGCCGAUGGCAGAUUAGCUAGUUGGUGGGGUAAAAGCUCACCAAGGCGACGAUCUGUAGCUGGUCUGAGAGGACGACCAGCCACACUGGAACUGAGACACGGUCCAGACUCCUACGGGAGGCAGCAGUGGGGAAUUUUGGACAAUGGGCGCAAGCCUGAUCCAGCAAUGCCGCGUGCAGGAUGAAGGCCUUCGGGUUGUAAACUGCUUUUGUACGGUAACGAAACGGUGAGCUCUAAUAAAGACUUGCUAAUGACGGUACCGUAAGAAUAAGACACCGGCUAACUACGUGCCAGCAGACC
rnacentral:rRNA from 1 species